GGUGACUGCAGCAGAAUAAAGAAAGGCUUCUGUCUCGAAGGCAGCUGCGUGAAGAACGAGCAAUUCUCCUCGCCAUAAACGUUUGUGCAGCACUCAAUCGACCACUGAGGAUGGAUAAGCCAUGAUGAUAUUAUUUUUUCGUUAGAGUGUGCAUUAUCAUACAAUAUAAUACUAUUACUAUUUAAAAGAUAUUCAUGGCUACAAAAGCUCCUGGAAAUAGCUUCAUUAAUAUUGGAAGUGCAGUACUGUGUCACAUGUGCCGGACUGCCGGUGUCUAAUUUCAAGCUGAUAAAAAGGUGUUGAUGUUCAUUAUGUAUGUAAUGAUACUUCAGAAUACAUUACAACUUUAUUGUCGAGCUAUGGAGUCGAGAAACAUGCAAUAGAAAAAGUUGUUGUAAUUUAUUCUGAAGUAUCAUUACAGACACUUAAAGAGCGAAAAUUAUAAUGAAAUCGAAAAAUGAUGCAAAAAAGUGCGAUUCAAGUACAUGUUUGUUAUGAAAUUAAAAUUAUUAAUUGAGAACGACCCACCUCUCGACCACCCCC